GGCUGAAUGGUGUAGCGGUAUCACGCAUCGUUCACAUUCUUAAUGGCUGUAUCAUCCAAUCUUACUACCAAAAGAUUGUUGUUCCGAUGAGGUCCUGGGUUCGACCCCCAGUUUAGUCA